CUGGGUGGUCUUCUGUGUUCCAGUCUGCAUAAUGAAGAGACCCUCUCUCACGCUGUCGCAGUCAGGUCUCAUUCCAUCUGUGCCAGGCAGGACCCCCAACUGCUGAUUCUGGCUGAACCUCCCAGAAGACCUCGGUCAUGAAAUGAGAGCCACAGUGCCUGGCCCAGCUUCCAUGGGAAAGGUGACGUCAUGAGGCCUAAUGGAAUUACAGCUCACUCCGUCAGUGUGUAUGUUUCCAUGCUUUGAGGCCCAGAGACGUGCCGGUCAUGUGCCCUGCUGGGCCAGCCCAGCCCGCAGACUUCUGACUUCGGACCAAGGGCCCUGUUUUGUUGCAACAGAUAAUGGCCACUUCCCUAUCAGUCCUUUUGAGUCAGUCAGACUCCACCGUUGACUCUUAGGAUGUUUUAUGC
ensembl:lncRNA